rnacentral:rRNA from 1 species
ACGGGUGAGUAACGCGUGGGAAUCUACCCUUUUCUACGGAAUAACGCAGGGAAACUUGUGCUAAUACCGUAUGUGUCCUUCGGGAGAAAGAUUUAUCGGGAAAGGAUGAGCCCGCGUUGGAUUAGCUAGUUGGUGGGGUAAAGGCCUACCAAGGCGACGAUCCAUAGCUGGUCUGAGAGGAUGAUCAGCCACAUUGGGACUGAGACACGGCCCAAACUCCUACGGGAGGCAGCAGUGGGGAAUAUUGGACAAUGGGCGCAAGCCUGAUCCAGCCAUGCCGCGUGAGUGAUGAAGGCCCUAGGGUUGUAAAGCUCUUUCACCGGAGAAGAUAAUGACGGUAUCCGGAGAAGAAGCCCCGGCUAACUUCGUGCCAGCAGCCGCGGUAAUACGAAGGGGGCUAGCGUUGUUCGGAAUUACUGGGCGUAAAGCGCACGUAGGCGGAUCGAUCAGUCAGGGGUGAAAUCCCAGGGCUCAACCCUGGAACUGCCUUUGAUACUGUCGAUCUGGAGUAUGGAAGAGGUGAGUGGAAUUCCGAGU